rnacentral:misc_RNA from 1 species
UUGAAUAGUACGUGGUGCUGUGCUGGCCUUUCGGGGCAUGUGCACGCAUUGCAACCUAUUAUCUUCAUCUUGUGAACCAGUGUAGGCUUUUUGGUUGAUUGGGUUUGGCGCAAGCUGAACUUGAAAGGCCCGAGGUCUAUGAUUUAUAAACCAUUUGUAUGUCUUUGAAUGUCUCUUUACUUGACCGCAAGGUCAGUAAAAUCUAUA